GAUGAACGCUGGCGGCGUGCCUAAUACAUGCAAGUCGAGCGAACAGACGAGGAGCUUGCUCCUCUGACGUUAGCGGCGGACGGGUGAGUAACACGUGGAUAACCUACCUAUAAGACUGGGAUAACUUCGGGAAACCGGAGCUAAUACCGGAUAAUAUAUUGAACCGCAUGGUUCAAUAGUGAAAGACGGUUUUGCUGUCACUUAUAGAUGGAUCCGCGCCGCAUUAGCUAGUUGGUAAGGUAACGGCUUACCAAGGCGACGAUGCGUAGCCGACCUGAGAGAGGGGUAGGCGACACUGGAACUGGAACGCGGUCCAGACUCCUGCGGGAGGCAGCAGUAGGGAAUCUUCCGCAAUGGGCGAAAGCCUGACGGAGCAGCGGCGAGUGAGUGAUGAAGGUCUUCGGAUCGUAAAGAUCUGUUAUUAGGGAAGAACAAAUGUGGAAGUAACUAUGCACGUCUUGACGGUACCUAGUCAGAAAGCAACGGCUAACUACGUG
rnacentral:rRNA from 1 species